AUUGAACGCUGGCGGCAGGCCUAACACAUGCAAGUCGAGCGAGCGGCGGACGGGUGAGUAAUGUAUGGGGACUGCCUGAUGGAGGGGGAUAACUACUGGAAACGGUAGCUAAUACCGCCUACUAUCGGAUAUCCCAGAUGGGAUUAGCUAGUAGGUGGGGUAAUGGCUCACCUAGGCGACGAUCCCUAGCUGGUCUGAGAGGAUGAUCAGCCACACUGGGACUGAGACACGGACCAGACUCCGACGGAGACAGCAGUGGGGAAUAGUGCACAAUGGGCGCAAGCCUGAUGCAGCCAUGCCGCUUGUGUGAAGAAGGCCUUAGGGUUGUAAAGUACUUUCAGUCGGGAGGCGUUACCGACAGAAGAAGCACCGGCUAACUCCGUGCCAGCAGCCGCGGUAAUUC
rnacentral:rRNA from 1 species